rnacentral:rRNA from 1 species
GACGAACGCUGGCGGCGUGCUUAACACAUGCAAGUCGAACGGAAAGGCUCCAGCUUGCUGGAGUACUCGAGUGGCGAACGGGUGAGUAACACGUGGGUAAUCUGCCCUGCACUCUGGGAUAAGCCUGGGAAACUGGGUCUAAUACUGGAUAUGACCUUUCUCCUUAUGGGGUUUGGUGGAAAGUUUUUCGGUGUAGGAUGAGCCCGCGGCCUAUCAGCUUGUUGGUGGGGUGAUGGCCUACCAAGGCGACGACGGGUAGCCGGCCUGAGAGGGUGAUCGGCCACAUUGGGACUGAGAUACGGCCCAGACUCCUACGGGGGGCAGCAGUGGGGAAUAUUGCACAAUGGGCGGAAGCCUGAUGCAGCGACGCCGCGUGAGGGAUGACGGCCUUCGGGUUGUAAACCUCUUUCAGCAGGGACGAAGCGUAAGUGACGGUACCUGCAGAAGAAGCACCGGCUAACUACGUG